rnacentral:tRNA from 1 species
UGAUUUUAGUUCCUAAACUUUGUCUAGGUCACACCCCGCAAGGGUUACUCCUGGGCCAUUAGCUCAGGUGGUUAGAGCGCACCCCUGAUAAGGGUGAGGUCCCUGGUUCAAGUCCAGGAUGGCCCAUUCGGUGUUGGGGGUUUAGCUCAGUUGGUAGAGCGCCUGCUUUGCAAGCAGGAUGUCAGCGGUUCGAGUCCGCUAACCUCCACUGACGAAUCUUCUGACAACGAGCCAAUGGUGAGAACCGUUGUGUGAUGUGAUUUAGAAUUUAAGUUUGCUGGCAGACCCUAGCUUUUUCUCAUUCCAGGUCUCAAUCAAUUGAGAUUAGGUUGAUAGGACGCUGGGCUCACUGUAAUUCGCAAGAAUUGCAGAGAUGUUCAGCAGAACCUUGACAACUGCAUAGGUAAGUCUGGAAAGAAUAAAGCAUCUCAUGGAUGCAUUGUUCUUGUGAACCAGCCAAUGCAAUCUGCGCGAGUAGAGAGCUGAAGUUGAUGAACGAGAAUGAUGUUUGAUUCUUGAGUCAAGAGCCGAGACUCUAUAGCGUUCUUUCGAUGUCAUCGAGGCAUCGAGAGUUUGAUUGGUCAUUCAAACCAUCUUCAAUGACAAACAAUUCAGUUUAACUGGAGAAGUUUGAGAUUGAAGCCAGGUGAAUUGCUAAGAAUACGUAUUCAACUACGUGAAGCGUUAUAGAGAUUAAUUGGUCAAGCUACAA